rnacentral:rRNA from 1 species
UACGAAGGGUGCAAGCGUUACUCGGAAUUACUGGGCGUAAAGCGUGCGUAGGUGGUUGUUUAAGUCUGUUGUGAAAACCCGGAGCUCAACUCCGGGCCUGCAGUCGAUACGGGCGGACUAGAGUUCGGCAGGGGAGACUGGAAUUCCUGGUGUAGCGGUGAAAUGCGCAGAUAUCAGGAGGAACACCGGUGGCGAAGGCGGGUCUCUGGGCCGAUACUGACGCUGAGGAGCGAAAGCGUGGGGAGCGAACAGG